rnacentral:rRNA from 1 species
GACAGAGAAUGCAAACAUUGUUCGGAAUUACUGGGCGUAAAGCGCGUGUAGGCAGCUAUGCAAGUCGGAUGUGAAAGCCCUCGGCUCAACCGAAGAAGUGCACCCGAAACUGCAAAGCUAGAGUCUCGGAGAGGAUCGUGGAAUUCUCGGUGUAGCAGUGAAAUGCGUAGAUAUCGUGAGGAACACCAGAGGCGAAGGCGGUUACCUGGACAGUUACUGACGCUCAGGCACGAAAGCGUGGGGAGCAAAAGGG